rnacentral:rRNA from 1 species
GAUGAACGCUGGCGGCGUGCCUAAUACAUGCAAGUCGAGCGAACGGAUGAGAAGCUUUCUUCUCUGAUGUUAGCGGCGGACGGGUGAGUAACACGUGGAUAACCUACCUAUAAUACUGGGAUAACUUCGGGAAACCGGAGCUAAUACCGGAUAAUAUUUUGAACCGCAUGGUUCAAAAGUGAAAGGCGGUCUUGCUGUCACUUAUAGAUGGAUCCGCGCUGCAUUAGCUAGUUGGUAAGGUAACGGCUUACCAAGGCAACGAUGCAUAGCCGACCUGAGAGGGCGAUCGGCCAAACUGGAACUGGGAAACGGUCCAGACUCCGACGGGAGGCAGGAGGAGGGAAUUUUCCGCAAGGGGCGAAAGCCCGACCGAGCCACGGCGAGGGGGUGACGAAGGUCUUCGGAUCGUAAAACUCUGGUAUUAGGGAAGAACAUAUGUGUAAGUAACUGUGCACAUCUUGACGGUACCUAAUCAGAAAGCCACGGCUAACUACGUG